ACCAAUUUUUUUAAUUAUUUUCUAAUUUUUAUAUUUUUAAUAACUUUUAAUUAUUUUCCAAUUUUUAUAUUUUUAACUAUUUUUCAAUUUUUUCUCCCAAAUUCAGUUGCUUCUACAUUGCCGUUGUGGGAGAUUAAGGUAUCGUUUGACCCGACUUUUUUCAAAAUUCUCUACAUUUUUAAGGAGAAGUUAGGUCAAACACAAUAUCAAUUAAGUACGUACUAAAAAAAGAACAUUUUUUGAACGCAUAAAAUUGAAUGGAAUGAGCUUUGACCAGAAGUUGUUGAAUGUUACUUUAAAAAACUACUUCUCCACAAUUUAUUUCACAAACACCUCUUUUCAACUCA
rnacentral:lncRNA from 1 species